rnacentral:rRNA from 1 species
GGACGACGCUGGCGGCGUGCCUAACACAUGCAAGUCGAGCGAGGAGAUUCCUUCGGGAUGAUCCUAGCGGCGGACGGGUGAGUAACACGUGGGCAACCUGCCUCAUAGAGAGGAAUAGCCUUCCGAAAGGGAGAUUAAUACCUCAUAACAUUGCAGUUUCGCAUGGAACAGCAAUUAAAGGAGUAAUCCGCUAUGAGAUGGGCCCGCGGCGCAUUAGCUAGUUGGUGAGGUAACGGCUCACCAAGGCGACGAUGCGUAGCCGACCUGAGAGGGUGAUCGGCCACAUUGGGACUGAGACACGGCCCAGACUCCUACGGGAGGCAGCAGUGGGGAAUAUUGCACAAUGGGGGAAACCCUGAUGCAAGCAACGCCGCGUGAGUGAUGACGGCCUUCGGGUUGUAAAGCUCUGUCUUCAGGGACGAUAAUGACGGUACCUGAGGAGGAAGCCACGGCUAACUACGUGCCAGCAGCCGC